rnacentral:rRNA from 1 species
UUCACUCCCAACCCCUGUGACAUACCUUAAUGUUGCCUCGGCGGAUCAGCCCGCGCCCCGUAAAACGGGACGGCCCGCCAGAGGACCCAAACUCUAAUGUUUCUUAUUGUAACUUCUGAGUAAAACAAACAAAUAAAUCAAAACUUUCAACAACGGAUCUCUUGGUUCUGGCAUCGAUGAAGAACGCAGCAAAAUGCGAUAAGUAAUGUGAAUUGCAGAAUUCAGUGAAUCAUCGAAUCUUUGAACGCACAUUGCGCCCGCUGGUAUUCCGGCGGGCAUGCCUGUUCGAGCGUCAUUUCAACCCUCAAGCCCCCGGGUUUGGUGUUGGGGAUCGGCUCUGCCCUUCUGGGCGGUGCCGCCCCCGAAAUACAUUGGCGGUCUCGCUGCAGCCUCCAUUGCGUAGUAGCUAACACCUCGCAACUGGAACGCGGCGCGGCCAUGCCGUAAAACCCCAACUUCUGAAUGUUGACCUCGGAUCAGGUAGGAAUACCCGCUGAACUUAAGCAUAUCAAUAAGCGGAGGAA